rnacentral:rRNA from 1 species
AUUGAACGCUGGCGGCAGGCUUAACACAUGCAAGUCGAGCGGAGAUGAGGUGCUUGCAUCUUAUCUUAGCGGCGGACGGGUGAGUAAUGCUUAGGAAUCUGCCUAUUAGUGGGGGACAACAUUCCGAAAGGAAUGCUAAUACCGCAUACGUCCUACGGGAGAAAGCAGGGGAUCUUCGGACCUUGCGCUAAUAGAUGAGCCUAAGUCGGAUUAGCUAGUUGGUGGGGUAAAGGCCUACCAAGGCGACGAUCUGUAGCGGGUCUGAGAGGAUGAUCCGCCACACUGGGACUGAGACACGGCCCAGACUCCUACGGGAGGCAGCAGUGGGGAAUAUUGGACAAUGGGGGGAACCCUGAUCCAGCCAUGCCGCGUGUGUGAAGAAGGCCUUAUGGUUGUAAGGCACUUUAAGCGAGGAGGAGGCUACUGAGACUAAUACUCUUGGAUAGUGGACGUUACUCGCAGAAUAAGCACCGGUUAACUCUGUGCCAGCAGCCGCCGUAACAC